UGACAGUCCGGAGGCCAGAACGGGGCAGGUUGCGUGAAGCGCAGAGGUUUCACAAAAACAAAAGGUGACGGCCCCGCGGCAGGGUCUAUCUAUGGCCGAGGCAGUGAAGCCCCAGCGCCGGGCCAAGGCCAAGGCCAGCCGGACUAAAACAAAGGAAAAGAAGAAAUAUGAAACCCUUCAGAGGGAAGAGUCCAAUGAAGUCUCCCUUCCAAAAACCUCCAGAGAGCAGGAAAUCCCUUCUCUAGCCUGUGAAUUCAAAGGAGACCAUCUGAAGGUGGUAACCGAUUCCCAGCUCCAGGAUGAUGCCAGUGGACAAAAUGAGAGUGAAAUGUUUGAUAUACCACUCACCUCCUUAACUAUAAGCAAUGAAGAAUCCCUGACGUGUAACACACAGCCCCCAAAGGAAGGGGGAGAGGCCACACCCUGUGUGGGGGACAGUGCAGUCACGCCAAAGGUCCAGCCUGGAGACAGUGUUGGAACUAUAGUAGAAACCCCCAAGAACUUCACAGAGGUAGAGGAAAAUACGUCAGUACAAGGUGGACUUUCAGAAAGUGCACCCCAAUCUAAUUUUUCUUGUACUCAGCCAGAAAUGGAAAAUAUACAAGUCAGAGAAACUCAGAAUAGUAAAGAAGACAAAGAAGGCCUGGUUUGUUCUUCAGAGGUGCCACAGAAUGUUGGCUUGCAGAGUUCUUGCGAAGCCAAACAUGUUUUUCAGACACCUAGAGUGAGGAAACUGUAUCCCCAGUUGCCAGCUGAAAUUGCCAGAGAAGCACCAGCUUUGGUGGCAGUGAAACCCUUGCUUCGUAGUGAGCGACUCUACCCAGAACUCCCAUCUCAACCAGAACUAGUACCAUUUACUAAAGAACAGCUAAAAAUCUUGGAGCCUGGUUCAUGGCUGGAAAAUGUUGAGUCAUAUUUAGAAGAAUUUGACAGCAUGGCUCAUCAAGACAGGCAUGAAUUUUAUGAGUUGCUUUUGAACUACUCACGAUGUAGGAAGCAACUGCUGCUGGCCGAAGCUGAGCUGCUUACUCUGACAUCUGAUUGCCAGAAUGCUAAAAGUCGGCUGUGGCAGUUUAAGGAGGAACAAAUGUCUGUACAGGGUAUCUGUGCAGAUCAAGUGAAGGUUUCCAGCUAUCAUCGCUACCAAAGAGUAGAAAUGAAUGAAAAUGCACUGAUGGAGCUAAAGAAGCUAUUUGAUGCCAAAGCUGAACACCUCCACCAGACCCUGGCCCUUCAUUCUUAUACUUCUGUGCUCUCAAGGUUGCAAGUGGAGUCUUACAUCUAUGCAUUGCUCAGUAGUUCAGCUGUUCUGAGAUCUUUAGUAAUUCACCAGCAAGGCCAAGGUGUCCGUGUUACAAAGAGUUGGCUGUCCUGGAGAUCACCUCUUCCUUCUAAACCAUAUUCUUCGAUGCCCCGCUGGUGUUAG
rnacentral:lncRNA from 1 species